rnacentral:rRNA from 1 species
GAUGAACGCUCGCUACAGGCUUAACACAUGCAAGUCGCGGGGCAGCAUGGGGGUUGCUUGCAAUCCCCGAUGGCGACCGGCGCACGGGUGAGUAACGCGUAUCCAACCUGCCCUUCACCACGGGAUAACCCGGCGAAAGUCGGACUAAUACCGUAUGUUGUCCAUUGACGGCAUCCGAUUUGGACGAAAGGUUUGGCGGUGAAGGAUGGGGAUGCGUCCGAUUAGCUGGGCGGCGGGGUGACGGCCCACCGUGGCGACGAUCGGUAGGGGUUCUGAGAGGAAGGUCCCCCACACUGGAACUGAGACACGGUCCAGACUCCUACGGGAGGCAGCAGUGAGGAAUAUUGGUCAAUGGGCGUAAGCCUGAACCAGCCAAGUAGCGUGCAGGAUGACGGCCCUAUGGGUUGUAAACUGCUUUUAUGCGGGGAUAAAGUGGCCCACGUGUGGGUUUUUGCAGGUACCGCAUGAAUAAGGACCGGCUAAUUCCGUG